AAUGUAAUUGUAAUUGCUCAGUCCACACCCAGGCCGACAACUGUCAGCCCAUCUGCUUGUGGGCAGAUGUGGACCUACUAAGCCUCCCCCGUUAACAUGUCCUACACCGAAUUAGCACACCGGGAUCUUCCACAGGCAGGCGCUGGCGUUACCAGUCCCAACAAGUGUCAGAUACAUUAAAUAGAUGGGGUAGAGGAUAUAGGAAGAUGUGGGAAUAGGAUGGGAAGAGGCAGAAAAUGAAGAGAUAGUAGAGAGGUUUCGAUUUUGUUGCUGAAACGAGAAAAAGAAAGAAUGAUAAAGAACAUUAGCGAUAUGUUCAUAGAUUUUGAUUUGGUCGAUAAUUUCUCAUCUAUUUUGUUUCCAUAUCGUUGCAUCGGUGAUCAUUUUCAUCGCCUUUCUAGUUUUGUUAGAGCCAUCUCGCGUUUUUUCGUCAUGUCCUCUUUGCCGGUUGGCGACGUUCGGGAUUACUUCCAGCCCAUUUGUCCGCAGUACAUAUCAGGCAUCCCGUUUUAACAAGUCCUACACAGAAUUAGAAACCCGGAUCUUCCACAGACAGUCCUAACUAGUGUCAGAUAAGUUCAAUUGAGGAUAGGAAGCGGCAAAAUGAGAAGACAGUAGAGAAGGUUUGGUUCAUUGGUAGCUGUGUUCAUGUGUUGUCUGUCUGACAUUGAAAAACUAUUUUCCGUAAGUGUUUAACUCGUCACCCCAUAUUUAAUACCGGAAAAAUAUCUGAUCAGAUGUAUAGUUUGGCAAUUCUAUGUCCACAUUGAAAUGCUUUUGUUAAUACAUUGUUUAUCAAGAAGGAAUAAUGUUGUUUACUGUUAUAAAAUAAUUCAGUUAAAGGGCAGCUAAUGUAUUGUAGUCAAGAAUAAACCUACAGAAAAUGUCUCAAUAAAAAAGUUAACUCUAGUUCAACUAACUACACAAACUGAAAAGUGUUAUUAUAUUUUACCAAUGAUUUCAUCCUAAUCUUGACCCUAACAUAGUUAUGCGCUUAGUGUAAGUGGACGCCGCUUAUGAUUUGGUUGAACAAUGACCAAAAAUAAUGUUGUUUCGACAAUAGUCACAUACUAUGCCCUACGACAUUGACGAUUCUAUUGUCUAUGGCUCAUCUAUUUCGCGCCACCCAGCAGGGACUUGGUCUGAUACCCAAUUCAGCAUCUACAUUCCACGUAAUGUACCGCACCUCUUUUGAUUUGUGAUAUUCACGCGGAAUAUUGUUCUCUUCAUUCGGAUAGCGACUGUGUAACCCCCUUGGAUUGAAAGCCUCCAUCAAACAUGAAGCGACUAAUCGGAUACUGAAGACUCUAUACCAGAUUUGGCUCAGAGACAGGUAAUCAGUGAUGUCAGUUUUUUCUCGUUUGUCAGAGACGAUUGAUACGUAUUAAGACAAACUUUCCACUGCAUCUGCCAGCAGUAAUCGGUGGUCAAUCAACAUUCCGAGUCCCCUAAUUUCACAAGGAUGCCAAGGAUCACCGCUCAUGCUUUACAAUACAGCUGGAAAAACUAGAACAACACCUGGCCACAAUGAUGCAUAAAGCACUAAAGCGGACCGGAAGAUUCGAUGAGCCAGCCCCCACC